AUUGAACGCUAGCGGGAUGCUUUACACAUGCAAGUCGAACGAGCGGCGGACGGGUGAGUAAUGUAUGGGGACUGCCCGAUAGAGGGGGAUAACUACUGGAAACGGUAGCUAAUACCGCAUACUAUCGGAUAACCCAUAUUGGAUGAGCUAGUAGGUGGGGUAAUGGCUCACCUAGGCGACGAUCCCUAGCUGGUCUGAGAGGAUGAUCAGCCACACUGGGACUGAGAAACGGCCCAGAUGCCUACGGAGGCAGCAGUGGGGAAGAUUGCACAAUGGGCGCAAGCCUGAUGCAGCCAUGCCGCGUGUAGGAAGAAGGCCCUAGGGUUGUAAAGUACUUUCAGUCGGGAGGCGUUACCGACAGAAGAAGCACCGGCUAACUCCGUGCCAGCAGCCGCGGUAAUAC
rnacentral:rRNA from 1 species